rnacentral:piRNA from 1 species
UGCUGACAAACACAUUUUACCCCCAUAGGAC